GGGGGAGCAGCACACCCACCGUCCGCGCGGCCCCCAGGGCGCCCCAGAGCGACGCCAGGGCGCCCCACGCGCAUGGACCACGCGAUCGCAUGGGUCGCUCUGACGUCAUUCUGGAGCGCCCCGGGAGCCGC